rnacentral:tRNA from 1 species
UGGCCUGUAGCCAAGCGGUAAGGCAACGGUUUUUGGUAUCGUCAUGCGUAGGUUCGAAUCCUGCCAGGCCAGCCA